UACGUAGGGGGCAAGCGUUAUCCGGAUUUACUGGGUGUAAAGGGCGUGUAGGCGGGACUGCAAGUCAGAUGUGAAAACCACGGGCUCAACCUGUGGCCUGCAUUUGAAACUGUAGUUCUUGAGUACUGGAGAGGCAGACGGAAUUCCUAGUGUAGCGGUGAAAUGCGUAGAUAUAUGGAGGAACACCGGUGGCGAAAGCGGCUCUCUGGCCUGUAACUGACACUGAGGCUCGAAAGCGUGGGGAGCAAACAGG
rnacentral:rRNA from 1 species